rnacentral:rRNA from 1 species
CGUUCGUAGUUGAAUUUGUGCUUAAUGCAGGUAGUAUAGCUAUAAUCGUAGUUUGUACAUUACCUUAUGCAUGUAAGCGUAUUAUCGGUGGAGUUCUAAUAUAUAAUAAUAAAUAUUUUAUUUAUUAUUAUGUAUACCUCCUAUUUGAAACCUAUUUCAGUGCUCUUUAUCGAGUGUUGUUAUAGGCCGAUACAAUUACUUUGAACAAAUUAGAGUGCUUAAAGCAGGCUUAUAACGCCUGAAUAUUUUGUGCAUGGAAUAAUGAAAUAAGACCUCUGUUCUACUUUCAUUGGUUUUUAGAACAAGAGGUAAUGAUUAAUAGAAGCAGUUUGGGGGCAUUAGUAUUACGACGCGAGAGGU